AAGACAGAUGUCUGCAACGGCAAUUUAAAGAGUGUUUUAAUGUUUAUAUUCUACUCAUCUGGAGUUAAAAAAAACAUCAGAUGCAAGAUUAAGUUGUCCUUUUGGUAACAAGCAGCCAAUUAAAUGCCAAACACGAGCUGGAUCCUGCUAGGAGAACAACACUCUGCUGAACUCUGAGUGAUGCCAAACACGAGCUGGAUCCUGCUAGGACAACAACACUCUACUCUGCUGAACUCUGAGUG